rnacentral:lncRNA from 1 species
AAAACAGCCUUAUAUGCCGUUCCAUAGCUCCCCUUUCCAAGAACUUCAGCCGAAGCCUUUAGCAAAUCCUCAAGGUCAAAGCUAUAAGAGCAUCCUUCAAAGAAAAACAACUUGUUCUUUUCAGCCUCUUGCACACCACUUCCAAAACUCUUUGAAACCUCAGUCUUCCCAGCACAAGAUGAGGCUUUUCCCUUCAGUAUGCUGCUGCCUUUUCUGUUUUUCCCCUUAAAACAGCACACUAUGAUCACUAAAACUAGUAGAGAGAUAAAGGCAAUGCCUCCAAUGACUAGAGCAAGUAUAGGAGCUAGGCCGAACUUUUUCUUAUGAGUGGUAGGUUCUUGAUUUUGGGUGGUUGAUGGAGAGAGUGGCUGGUAAUCCGGAGAAGGGGAGAUUAAAGAGCAAUGAUUGAGAGGUGGACCGCAUAAGAGAGAGUUCCCGACAAAAGAAGUAUAAGGGAAUGUCUUGAUGGAAAUUGGAAUUGAUCCAUUCAAGUUGUUAUAGCUCAAAUUCAAAUAUUUUAGCCUUGGAAGGUUGAAAUCAGAUAUAGGUCCAGAUAUGGAAUUGUUUUGAAGAUACAACCAAGUGAGUCUUCUCAGGUUUUGAAGUGCAGGUGGGAUAAUACCAGAGAAAGAGUUGAAAGAAAUAUCCAAUGCAAUGAGUUUAGGUGAGACAGAAGAAGGAAUUAGACCUGAGAAGUUGUUGUGUUGCAAGUGUGCAACUUGGAGUGAAUGAAUGGAGAGGAUGUUAGAAGGAAUCUUUCCUCUAAGACCAUUGGAAUGAAGGCUCAAGACCCGGAGAGCAUCAAGUUUUCCUAUGCUGUUCUCUGGAAUGGAACCUGUCAAUCCAAUUCCUGGAAGAUGGAGGCCAAUGACACGAGUCCGAUUCGAGUUGCAAGUCACGCCAAUCCAUGUGGUGCAAAUUGAAAAAGAGUCAUUCCAGUUGAGCCUUGGGCCAUGUGGAAUAGUAGAAAGCUCGAAGCGGCAUGACAUUACUGUGGCAUCCAAUUCUCCCCACAAUCUCCAUCUGCUGCUCAAACUCCUUCUUUCCUACCAUAACUUCUUUCAACCUUUUAACCACCACCGUUGUCCCUUCCUCCAAAACAGCCUUAUAUGCCGUUCCAUAGCUCCCCUUUCCAAGAACUUCAGCCGAAGCCUUUAGCAAAUCCUCAAGGUCAAAGCUAUAAGAGCAUCCUUCAAAGAAAAACAACUUGUUCUUUUCAGCCUCUUGCACACCACUUCCAAAACUCUUUGAAACCUCAGUCUUCCCAGCACAAGAUGAGGCUUUUCCCUUCAGUAUGCUGCUGCCUUUUCUGUUUUUCCCCUUAAAACAGCACACUAUGAUCACUAAAACUAGUAGAGAGAUAAAGGCAAUGCCUCCAAUGACUAGAGCAAGUAUAGGAGCUAGGCCGAACUUUUUCUUAUGAGUGGUAGGUUCUUGAUUUUGGGUGGUUGAUGGAGAGAGUGGCUGGUAAUCCGGAGAAGGGGAGAUUAAAGAGCAAUGAUUGAGAGGUGGACCGCAUAAGAGAGAGUUCCCGACAAAAGAAGUAUAAGGGAAUGUCUUGAUGGAAAUUGGAAUUGAUCCAUUCAAGUUGUUAUAGCUCAAAUUCAAAUAUUUUAGCCUUGGAAGGUUGAAAUCAGAUAUAGGUCCAGAUAUGGAAUUGUUUUGAAGAUACAACCAAGUGAGUCUUCUCAGGUUUUGAAGUGCAGGUGGGAUAAUACCAGAGAAAGAGUUGAAAGAAAUAUCCAAUGCAAUGAGUUUAGGUGAGACAGAAGAAGGAAUUAGACCUGAGAAGUUGUUGUGUUGCAAGUGUGCAACUUGGAGUGAAUGAAUGGAGAGGAUGUUAGAAGGAAUCUUUCCUCUAAGACCAUUGGAAUGAAGGCUCAAGACCCGGAGAGCAUCAAGUUUUCCUAUGCUGUUCUCUGGAAUGGAACCUGUCAAUCCAAUUCCUGGAAGAUGGAGGCCAAUGACACGAGUCCGAUUCGAGUUGCAAGUCACGCCAAUCCAUGUGGUGCAAAUUGAAAAAGAGUCAUUCCAGUUGAGCCUUG